AUAUCAUGAGUCACUAGCCCAAAUAGACAUAAAGCACACCUGCACCGUAAGCAAACUUGUGUCCAUCAUGCCACCACCAUAGAUCUGCUCCACAAAACCCUAAUCACACCUCCUUAAUGUAUAGAUUCAUUUUGAAUCAACCACCAUGAAAUCAUGGGAGAUUUAAGAUCGUGAAUCCACCUCGUAAGACCUCUGCAUGGAGAUUAAUGGUUCCAAAGGAUUCGGGGUUUUGGGAUUUAGGGCUUGCU
rnacentral:lncRNA from 1 species